GCGUGAGUGAUGAAGGCCCUAGGGUUGUAAAGCUCUUUUGCCAGGGAUGAUAAUGACAGUACCUGGAGAAUAAGCUCCGGCUAACUCCGUGCCAGCAGCCGCGGUAAUACGGAGGGAGCUAGCGUUGUUCGGAAUUACUGGGCGUAAAGCGCGCGUAGGCGGCUUUGCAAGUUAGAGGUGAAAUCCCAGGGCUUAACCCUGGAACUGCCUUUAAAACUGCAUCGCUAGAACGUUGGAGAGGUAAGUGGAAUUCCGAGUGUAGAGGUGAAAUUCGU
rnacentral:rRNA from 1 species